AUUGCACGCUGGCGGCAGGCCUAACACAUGCAAGUCGAACGAGUGGCGGACGGGUGAGUAAUGUCUGGGAAACUGCCCGAUGGAGGGGGAUAACUACUGGAAACGGUAGCUAAUACCGCAUACCAUCGGAUGUGCCCAGAUGGGCUUAGCUAGUAGGUGGGGUAAUGGCUCACCUAGGCGACGAUCCCUAGCUGGUCUGAGAGGAUGACCAGCCAACCGGCAACGGAGACACGGGCCAGAUGCCUACGUGAGGCAGCAGUGGGGAAGAUUGCACAAUGGGCGCAAGCCUGAUGCAGCCAUGCCGCGUGUAUGAAGAAGGCCUUCGGGUUGUAAGGUACUUUCAGCGAGGAGGGGUUACUCGCAGAAGAAGCACCGGCUAACUCCGUGCCAGCAGCCGCGGUAAUAC
rnacentral:rRNA from 1 species